CGCACAGGCACCCCAGUGGGGGAAGGGGAUCUCUUUUAACCCUUUCCUUGCUAAGUGCUUGCAACAAGACUAUCUCCCUCAGGUGCGCUCGGGCACCCCAGUGGGGGAAGGGGAUCUCUUUUAACCCUUUCCUUGCUAAGUGCUCGUAAUGAGACUAUCCCCUCAGGUGCGCUCGGGCACCCCAGCGGGGGAAGGGGAUCUCUUUUAACCCUUUCCUUGCUAAGUGCUUGCAACAAGACUAUCUCCCUCAGGCGCGCUCGGGCACCCCAGCGGGGGAAGGGGAUCUCUUUUAACCCUUUCCUUGCUAAGUGCUUGCAACAAGACUAUCUCCCUCAGGUGCGCUCGGGCACCCCAGUGGGGGAAGGGGAUCUCUUUUAACCCUUUCCUUGCUAAGCGCUUGCAACAAGACUAUCCCCUCAGGUGCGCUCGGGCACCCCAGUGGGGGAAGGGGAUCUCUUUUAACCCUUUCCUUGCUAAGCGCUUGCAACAAGACUAUCUCCCUCAGGUGCGCUCGGGCACCCCAGCGGGGGAAGGGGAUCUCUUUUAACCCUUUCCUUGCUAAGCGCUUGCAACAAGACUAUCUCCCUCAGGUGCGCUCGGGCACCCCAGCGGGGGAAGGGGAUCUCUUUUAACCCUUUCCUUGCUAAGCGCUUGCAACAAGACUAUCCCCUCAGGUGCGCUCGGGCACCCCAGUGGGGGAAGGGGAUCUCUUUUAACCCUUUCCUUGCUAAGCGCUUGCAACAAGACUAUCUCCCUCAGGUGCGCUCGGGCACCCCAGCGGGGGAAGGGGAUCUCUUUUAACCCUUUCCUUGCUAAGUGCUCGUAAUGAGACUAUCUCCCUCAGGUGCGCUCGGGCACCCCAGUGGGGGAAGGGGAUCUCUUUUAACCCUUUCCUUGCUAAGUGCUCGUAAUGAGACUAUCUCCCUCAGGUGCGCUCGGGCACCCCAGUGGGGGAAGGGGAUCUCUUUUAACCCUUUCCUUGCUAAGCGCUUGCAACAAGACUAUCUCCCUCAGGUGCGCUCGGGCACCCCAGUGGGGGAAGGGGAUCUCUUUUAACCCUUUCCUUGCUAAGUGCUCGUAAUGAGACUAUCUCCCUCAGGUGCGCUCGGGCACCCCAGUGGGGGAAGGGGAUCUCUUUUAACCCUUUCCUUGCUAAGCGCUUGCAACAAGACUAUCUCCCUCAGGUGCGCUCGGGCACCCCAGUGGGGGAAGGGGAUCUCUUUUAACCCUUUCCUUGCUAAGUGCUUGCAACAAGACUAUCUCCCUCAGGUGCGCUCGGGCACCCCAGUGGGGGAAGGGGAUCUCUUUUAACCCUUUCCUUGCUAAGUGCUCGUAAUGAGACUAUCUCCCUCAGGUGCGCUCGGGCACCCCAGAGGGGGAAGGGGAUCUCUUUUAACCCUUUCCUUGCUAAGCGCUUGCAACAAGACUAUCUCCCUCAGGUGCGCUCGGGCACCCCAGCGGGGGAAGGGGAUCUCUUUUAACCCUUUCCUUGCUAAGCGCUUGCAACAAGACUAUCUCCCUCAGGUGCGCUCGGGCACCCCAGUGGGGGAAGGGGAUCUCUUUUAACCCUUUCCUUGCUAAGCGCUUGCAACAAGACUAUCUCCCUCAGGUGCGCUCGGGCACCCCAGUGGGGGAAGGGGAUCUCUUUUAACCCUUUCCUUGCUAAGCGCUUGCAACAAGACUAUCUCCCUCAGGUGCGCUCGGGCACCCCAGUGGGGGAAGGGGAUCUACACCCUGUUAUUAAGUGAAAAUUUCUUAAGUUUCCAAUUUUUCUCUGUAAAUGUGUGUAUACUUACCACUUCCAAUAGAAUGUAUUUCCUUAAGAUUUCAGUUCAUUAUCAUUUAUAUUUCCUGUGUAGUGAAUAUUUUCGUGAUGCAAAGUGAUAAACAUUAAAAAAAACAUCAUAAAAAAACAAAACUCUCAUAUCAAUUAGCUAAGCAUGGAAUGAAAGAUCAGUGUCUGGCAGACAGUUCUGACACAAAAUAUUUCAUUUAAAUGCCAUAGUUCUUUUUUUGUUAUUUUUUUUAUUUUUAACCAUGAAAAAAGUUGAUAAAAUUAGGUUUGGAAAAUUAUACAGAUGAAACAGUUUCAUAUUCAUUUAUUUUGCUGUGUGAGAAUGAAAGACAUUACAUUCCUCUUUAAAAUGCAAAAGAAAUGGUGAAAAUAGGUGCUUAAAUAAUGAAGUUAUGUCCGGCAAAACAGAAAAAAGAUGAACUUUUCAGGAGAGGGUAUUUAAAGUUUAAAACCCUCCCGCAGCAUAGUCACUCCUGUCAUCAGUCUCUGUCUGCAUUUUCUUUUUCUUUGUCCACAAUGUCUCUCGUAUGUUAUCAUUUCUUUCAAGGUAUGACUUAUGUAAACUGGUAAAUGGCUCCCCUAAGUCCUUCCCUCCUCUGUUUCCCUUCUCCUAUAAUUCCUUCCCCUUCUGUCUCUCUCCGGCAUAUGACCACAGAUGUUGCGCCGACUAAACCAAACUUUCCAACUGUUCCCUUCUCCUAUAAUUCCUUCCUUCUUCUGUUUCCCUUCUCCUAUAAUUCCUUCCCCCUUCUGUCUCUCUCCGGCAUAUACCCACAGAUGUUGCGCUGACUAAACCAAACUUUCCAACUGUUCCCUUCUCCUAUAAUUCCUUCCCCUUCUGUCUCUCUCCGGCAUAUGACCACAGAUGUUGCGCCGACUAAACCAAACUUUCCAACUGUUCCCUUCUCCUAUAAUUCCUUCCCCUUCUGUCUCUCUCCGGCAUAUGACCACAGAUGUUGCGCCGACUAAACCAAACUUUCCAACUGUUCCCUUCUCCUAUAAUUCCUUCCCUCUUCUGUUUCUCUUCUCCUAUAAUUCCUUCCCCUUCUGUCUCUCUCCGGCAUAUGACCACAGAUGUUGCGCCCACUAAACCAAACUUUCCAACUGUUCCCUUCUAUAAUUCCUUCCCCUUCUGUCUCUCUCCGGCAUAUGACCACAGAUGUUGCUCCGACUAAACCAAACUGUCCAACU